GCCGGGCAUGGUGGUGCACGCCUGUAAUCUCAGCUACUCGGGAGGCUGAGGCAGGAGAAUUGCUUGAACCUGGGAGGAGGAGGUUGUAGUGAGCUGAGAUCAUGCCAUUGCACUCCAGUUUGGGCAACAAGAGCAAAACUUGUAAUCCUAGCUACUCAGGAGACUGAGACAGGAGAAUUGCAUGAACCCAGGAGGCAGAAGUUGCAAUGAGCUGAGAUCACGCCAUUGCACUCCAGCCUGGGUGGUAGUGCGAGACUUUGUCUAA
rnacentral:sRNA from 1 species